rnacentral:ncRNA from 1 species
AUAAAGUUUAAUUCUAGCUUAAAGAUUUAUUUAAUUUUUUUUUUACACAUGUGAUGUUUUUCGAAUAAAAGUUUAAUUUUAAAAAAAUUAUAUUUAUAUUUUAUCGCAGUAUGAAAUUUUAAUAAUUUAAGAAAUUAAGAAUUAUAAAUAUAAAUUUUAAUAUAGACUAAUUUUGUGCCAGCAGUUGCGGUUAUACAAAAUAUGUAAAUAAAUUUUAUUAGUAAAUAAUUAUAUGUUUAAAUUAAAAUAAAAUUAUAUUUAUUAAGUGAAAUUUUAAAUAUAAAUUUAAUUUUUAAUAAAAAAUUUGUUAUUAUGAAAUUUAUUUUUAAACUAGGAUUAGAUACCCUAUUAUUUUAAAUGUAAAAUUUUAAUACUAAAUUAUUAAUAGUUAAGUUCUUUAAAUUUAAAGAUUUUGGCGGUAUUUUAGUCUAUUCAGAGGAACCUGUUCUAUGAUUGAUAGUCCACGAUUAACAUUACUUAAUUUAAAAAUUUGUAUAUCGUCGUUUAUUAAUAAUUUUAUAAGAAUUAAAAUUUUUAAGAUUUUUAAUAAAAAAAUAUAUCAGAUCAAGGUGCAGUUUAUAAUUAAGAAGAAAUGGGUUACAAUAAAUUUAUUUAUACGGAUUAGUAUAUAAAAAUGUAUUAUAAAGGAGGAUUUGAUAGUAAUAAAAUUAAAUUAAAUUUUAUGAUUUUAGCUCUAAAAUAUGUACAUAUCGCCCGUCGCUCUUAUUAUAAGAUAAGAUAAGUCGUAACAUAGUAGAUGUACUGGAAAGUGUAUCUAGAAUGAC